UUCCUGGCGGUACUCCAAUGAUUCCAAACUUGGUGAAAGUAAUCACAGAGGUCGUAUCCAAUGGAAGCAAACCCAUCACAGUUGAUCAGCAGUUGAUUGAUGGCCCCAAUCCGAACUCUAAGGGGAAGUAUCUUAUUCCUAUCAUCCUUGCUUUCCAGUACUUUUUCGUGGUGAAACGGAUCCAAGGAGCGAUAAAGCGUGACAUUGCUAGUGAAAACAAGCCUCUUUGGGAGCUGCGUGAUCUAGGCUUGGCAAACCGCAAAUUCUGACAAGAUCCUCUUAGUUAUGGCCUCGGGAAACUGCAAAUUCUGACAAGAUCCUUAGUUAUGGCCGCUAAAUCAAUUGGUUUAUUUUAUGUCAGUUUUGUUGGCCGCAUUAGAAACUUGUUAAUGAGUGACCAAAUCGUCUUGUGGUAGGUUGAGAAUGAGUGUGAUACUACGUCGAAUGAGG
rnacentral:misc_RNA from 1 species